rnacentral:lncRNA from 1 species
CUGAGUCUGGCCCACAGAUCUUGUGUUUUGACCUAAUUGUUCUCUUUAUACCAUAUAAUCAGCCAAAAAUUGGAUUUAUUUAUCUGGGCGUGGAUACAAAGGCAAAAGACAGAAGUAACAGCAGUUCCUUGCCCCUACUCUGCCCACAAUUCAAUGUCACUUCAUUCUCUCAUAACUCAGAUUUUUUCUUUUUGCCUCAAGAGUGAUGUAACCACUAUGUGUGUGUAUAAUGAUUUCUUUCAGGUAGUGAUUUUGCAGUGCUCCUCAGAUAUGCCCCCAGAUGUGUCUAUUCAGUUGUGGAUUGGUUCAAAGGAAAAGAGUGAGAGAUUCAUGGUCACCACAGUUAAAGAAAAAAUUAUUUUGACACUUGUUAAAACUGUAAGGAAGACUUCAUUCAGGGCUCUCAUGAUAGAUGUCAAAACUAUCACAGUAGGAGAGAAAGAUGGAGCCUAACUGAACAAACAAAAACAAGUAGAGAUUUCCAAGGAACAAGCAGAAUGAAGGGUCAAUGGACAGAAAAUUACUAAGACAGCUGGGCGUGAUGGCUCACGCCUGUAAUCCCAGCACUUCAGGAGGCCGAGGUGCACAGAUCACGAGGUCAGGAGUUUGAGGUCAGCCUGACCAACAUGGUGAAACCUUGUCUCUACUAAAAAUACAAAAAUUAGCCGGCCGUGGUAGUGCGUGCCUGUAAUCCCAGCUACUCAUGAGACUGGGGCAGGAGAAUCACUUGAACUCGGAAGGCUGAGAUCACGCCACUGCACUCCAUCCUGGGUGACAGAGUGAGACUUUGUCUCAAAAAAAAAAAAAAAAAAAAAGGAAAAAAAGAAAAUUGCUAAGAGGAGACAUCAAGUGUAGUGGCAUUCUUACUAACCCCUGAGGACCAAAUAGGAUUCUUGCUGAACGCAAGCUAGGGUGAUCGGGUAUUGCCUGAGGGAUGGUGAGGGACGAGAAAUUUAAUCAGAUAUCCAGGGUGAUUAGACAUCAAGGGUGGAUGAUGGUCUGUAAACUGACAGCAGGAUUUUCCUUAAAAUUGAGCUUUGCAGGCCCAGGAGAUUGUGGACCAAGGUCAAGGCCUAGUGAAAAAGAGCGCAGUGAGGAGCUUGACUCCGUUGUGGUUAAGAGGAAAAAUUAUUAGCAUUUUAACAAUAUUUGGACUGUUUCUAGAUUGGAGGUAUUUUGAAUGAAGCUGCUGUGAAUAUUCAUGAACAAUGUACAAGUUUUUGUAUGGACAUAUGCUUUCUUUUCCUUUGCUUGAAUGCCUAAGUGUGAAAUGGCUGGAUCACAUGGUACAUACAUGCCUAAUUUUUAAAGAAGCAAUCAAACCACUUUUGAAAUAGUAGUAAUAUUUCACAUAACCAACCAUAGUGUAUAAAACUGCAGAAGUUCCACAACAUUAGCAACACUUGGUGUCAUCAGUCUUGAACUUUGAACAUUCUAGUAAGUGUGUAGUGGUACAUUUGUAAAUUUUGCGUCUAAUAAAUUAUAUACUGUAAUUUAAUUUCUAUUUCCCUAAUGACUAAUGAGAUUAAGCAUCUUUUCAUGUGCUUAUUUGUCAUUUUUAUUUAUAUCUGAUUUAGUGAUGUCUCUGUUAACAUUUUGCCAAUCAUUUUAUCAGGUUAUUAUCAUACCUUUAAAGUAUUUUAUGGAAUCUGAAUACAAAAAUCUUUAUUAAACAUGUGACUUAAAAGUUGCUUCCUUAACUUUGUGGCUUGACUUUUCAUUCUCUUAAUGCUUUUCAAAAGGCAGGAGUUUUUAUUCUUAAAGAGUUUAAUAUAUAUGUACACAUAUAUAAGUACAUGUCUUUACACACACACAUAUAAGUAUGUAAUUUUUAAUUUUAUGGAUCAUGAUUUUUGGUGUCAUAAGUAGAAAUACUUAACUCAAAAAUUUCUUUUCUACAUUUUCUUCAAGUUUCAAAUUUUACAUUUAGGUACAGGAUCUCUUUUAAAAUAAUUUUUCUAUACAGUGUUAAACAUAGAUUGAAAUUGCUAGUUCAAUAUUUUAUUUUCAAACGUGUAUCUAAUUAUUCUAGCACAAUUUGUUGAUAAGAUUAUACUUUCUCCAAUUAAACGAGUUGACCAUAUAUGUGUGGCAAUAUUAUGGGAUGCUCCAUUCUGUUCCAUUGAUUGGUUAGUAUAACUUAAGGCCACUAUCAUUUUAUCUUGAUAACUGUGGCUUUAUAAUAAACCAUGGAAUGAAGUCAUUUUAGUUCUCCAACUUCAUUCUUCUUUUUCAAAGCUAUUUUAGCUAUUCUGGCUCUUUUACAUUUCCAUUUGAAUUUCAGAAUCAGUUUGUCAAUUCCUACAAAAUGUCUGCUGAGAUAUUGAUCAGAAUUGAACUACAUCAAUAGAUCUAUUGGGGGGACUUGACAUCUUAGCAAUAAUUAGACUUCUAACUCAUGAAUGUGGUAAAAGUCUCCAUUUAUUCGUUUUUUUACCUCAAUAUUUUGUAAUAUUCACAUAUGUUGUAAUAUUUAUACUUAAAUAUUUUGUUGUUGAUGUUAUUAAAAACCAUAUUAUUCUUUACAUUCUAUUCCUUUUUUAUUGCUAGUAUAUAAAAAUACAACUUGUCAACUUGUAUAUUAAUUUUUAUCUUGUAAUCUUGUUAAACUCAUUUAUAAGUUCUACAAGUUUUUGUAGAUUUUAUUGUAUUUCCACAUACAUGAUCAUGUCAUCUACAAAUAAAGACAAUUUUUCAUCUGACUUUUAAACCUGGAUGCAAUAUGUUUCUUUUUGUUGUUUUAUUAUACUGGCUAGAAACUCU